rnacentral:rRNA from 1 species
GACGAACGCUGGCGGCGUGCUUAACACAUGCAAGUCGAACGCUGAAGCUCAGCUUUUGUUGGGUGGAUGAGUGGCGAACGGGUGAGUAACACGUGAGUAACCUGCCCCCUUCUUUGGGAUAACGCCCGGAAACGGGUGCUAAUACUGGAUAUUCACUGGUCUUCGCAUGGGGGUUGGUGGAAAGGGUUUUUCUGGUGGGGGAUGGGCUCGCGGCCUAUCAGCUUGUUGGUGGGGUGAUGGCCUACCAAGGCUUUGACGGGUAGCCGGCCUGAGAGGGUGACCGGUCACAUUGGGACUGAGAUACGGCCCAGACUCCUACGGGAGGCAGCAGUGGGGAAUAUGGCACAAUGGGCGAAAGCCUGAUGCAGCGACGCCGCGGGAGGGAUGGAGGCCUUCGGGUUGUGAACCUCUUUCGCUCAUGGUCAAGCCGCAACAAUGGUUGUGGUGAGGGUAGUGGGUAAAGAAGCGCCGGCUAACUACGUG